rnacentral:rRNA from 1 species
GACGUAGGGCGCGAGCGUUGUCCGGAUUUAUUGGGCGUAAGGAGCUCGUAGGCGGCUCGUUGCGUCGGCUGUGAAAACCCGCAGCUCAACUGUGGGCUUGCAGCCGAUACGGGCGGGCUGGAGUUCGGUAGGGGAGACUGGAAUUCCUGGUGUAGCGGCGAAAUGCGCAGAUAUCAGGAGGAACACCGGUGGCGAAGGCGGGUCUCUGGGCCGUAACUGACGCUGAGGAGCGAAAGCGUGGGGAGCGAACAGG